rnacentral:rRNA from 1 species
UACGGGGGGGGUAAGCGUUGUUCGGAAUUACUGGGCGUAAAAGGGCUCGUAGGCGGCCAACUAAGUCAUACGUGAAAUCCCUCGGCUCAACCGGGGAACUGCGUCUGAAUACUGGGUGGCUUGAAUCCGGGAGAGGGAUGCGGAAUUCCAGGUGUAGCGGUGAAAUGCGUAGAUAUCUGGAGGAACACCGGUGGCGAAGGCGGCAUCCUGGACCGGCAUUGACGCUGAGGCGCGAAAAGCCAGGGGAGCAAACGGGG